rnacentral:rRNA from 1 species
GACGAACGCUGGCGGCGUGCUUAACACAUGCAAGUCGAACGGAAAGGCCUCUUUCGGGGGGUACUCGAGUGGCGAACGGGUGAGUAACACGUGAGUAACCUGCCCUUGACUUUGGGAUAACUUCAGGAAACUGGGGCUAUAACGGCAUAGAGGCUCUUCUGCCUGGUUGGGGGUUGGAAAGUUUCGGCGGUUGGGGUUGGACUCGCGGCUUAUCACCUUGUUGGUGGGGUAGGGGCUUACCAAGGCUUUGACGGGUAGCUGGCCUGAGAGGGUGACCGGCCACAUUGGGACUGAGAUACGGCCCAGACUCCUACGGGAGGCAGCAGUGGGGAAUAUUGCACAAUGGGUGGAAGCCUGAUGCAGCAACGCCGUGUGCGGGAUGACGGCCUUCGGGUUGUAAACCGCUUUCGCUCAUGACGAAGCUUUGUGUGACGGUAGUGGGUAAAGAAGCACCGGCUAACUACGUG